rnacentral:rRNA from 1 species
UACGUAGGGUGCGAGCGUUGUCCGGAAUUAUUGGGCGUAAAGGGCUCGUAGGCGGUUUGUCGCGUCGGGAGUGAAAACCAUGGGCUUAACUCAUGGCUUGCUUCCGAUACGGGCAGACUAGAGGUAUGCAGGGGAGAACGGAAUUCCUGGUGUAGCGGUGAAAUGCGCAGAUAUCAGGAGGAACACCGGUGGCGAAGGCGGUUCUCUGGGCCUUACCUGACGCUGAGGAGCGAAAGCAUGGGGAGCAAACAGG